GGGGGAGGAGAGACUCCAGACUCUCAGUCAGUGUGUGUGUUGGUGUGUAGAUGUGAGUGUACGGCGAAGAAUUCGGCCGCUGGAGGAUUUUUCUCUACGAAUAAAACUACUUAUUUUGUGUGUGAAUAAAGCCAAUAACAAGGACAAGACGAGGAGGACAAAUGCGAAAAUGCGAGAAGAAAUCCAGGAAGAGAGUGUCUGCUUAUUAAAAAUUCAGCGCGGGAGAACGGACAUUAUCUCCCCUUCAGAUGACUUGUGGCAACACUGAGGAUAAACUACAGCACCAACGGGCUUCGAACGUUAUUGAAUGGUGUGAAACGAAGCGGAAAUUUCUCUAAAAAGCGAGUCCAAAGCAUUUCCAAGCGGCCAAAAAACCAAAGGGAAGGGGAGGAGAGGGGGGCAAAGAAAACGCCCUGCUGCCUGUUGCUGGUAUCUCCACAUUCAAACUUUAUCGCCGAGUUGGAAAAUGCAUCUUUCAGUUUCAACGGGAGGUGAUAAUUCAAGUGUAACGUUAUCUUUUUUUUAAGCUCAAAGUCAAACAGCUAGCUAACCGGAGGCCCGCUCACUUGGUAAGUUUUUGUAUAGCGGGGAGCCUCUUUGCUUUGGGAAUAUUUUCUCUUCAUUGUGCACACUAUUCCUGUUGGAAGCGAUUUGGGUGGGCUGAGAGCCCAAGGCUGCUCCGCUAGGCCCACGGCCAUUAGCCAGGAACAAAGAGGUUUCACAUGUAAACUCAAACUGUUUGGAAAACCUCUUCACAUUUUACCCAACUUUUAACGACCGACGCUGCAGUCAUGUCGCUCGGCGCUGAGAGGAGGAUGGAAACCCGGCUGAAGAAGCUGGAGGACAUGAUCAGAGAUCCCAGAUCUGCCAUGAACCUGGAAAGUUUGUUGGACUCCAUAAACGCCCUGGUCUUAGACUUGGACUACCCUGCACUACGCAAGAACAAAAACAUUGAAACCUUCUUAAACAGAUAUGAGAAAGUCAUAGGACAGACUCGAGAUCUCCAGAUGAAGUCUGAAGACUUUGACCGAGUUAAAGUCAUUGGUCGAGGGGCAUUUGGUGAAGUCCAGCUGGUACGGCAUAAAGCCUCCCAGAAGGUCUACGCCAUGAAGCUACUGAGCAAGUUUGAGAUGAUCAAGCGCUCAGACUCAGCUUUCUUCUGGGAAGAGAGGGACAUCAUGGCCUUUUCCAACAGUCCCUGGGUUGUGCAGUUGUGCAGUGCCUUCCAAGAUGAGCACUACCUCUACAUGGUGAUGGAGUACAUGCCAGGAGGUGACCUGGUCAACCUCACCAGCACCUACGACGUGCCGGAGAAAUGGGCCAAGUUCUACACAGCAGAGGUGGUGAUGGCCCUGGAUGCCAUUCACUCCAUGGGCUUCAUCCAUCGGGACGUCAAGCCAGACAACAUGCUGCUGGACAGACUUGGACACCUCAAGCUGGCCGACUUUGGCACAUGCAUGAAGAUGGACUCUACCGGCAUGGUGCACUGUGAUACAGCUGUCGGGACUCCAGACUACAUCUCUCCUGAGGUGCUGAAAUCCCAGGGAGGAGAUGGGCGUUAUGGGAGAGAGUGUGACUGGUGGUCCGUAGGGGUCUUCAUCUUCGAGAUGCUUGUUGGUGACACACCUUUCUACGCCGACUCUCUGGUGGGAACCUACAGUAAGAUCAUGGACCAUAAAAACUCCCUCAACUUCCCUGAUGAUGUGGAGAUCUCCAAAGAUGCCAAGAAUAUCAUCUGUGCCUUCCUGACUGACAGGGAGGUGCGAUUGGGCAGAAAUGGCGUUGAGGAAAUCAAGCGACACCCUUUCUUCAAGAACGACCAGUGGACCUUCGACACCAUCAGAGACACUGUUGCCCCCGUGGUCCCAGAGCUGAGCAGUGAUAUAGACACCAGUAAUUUUGAUGAGAUUGAAGAUGACAAAGGCGAUGUAGAAACUUUCCCCACACCUAAGGCCUUUGUUGGAAAUCAGUUACCCUUCGUUGGCUUCACUUACUUCAAAGAAGACCAGUUACUACAUUUUUCCAACAAUUCCUUGGUGGCUCAUGAGAAUUCGAAAGGAGAGUCAGCAGCACUGCAGAAGAAACUGCACCACCUGGAGGUGCAGCUGAAUAAUGAGAGGCAGGUCAAAGACGAGGUGGAGCAUAAAUACAGAGCUGCCACUAGCCGUCUAGACAAAAUCUCCAAAGAACUUGAGGAAGAGGUGAGCAGCAGAAAGAAUCUGGAGUCGAGUCUGAGGCAGCUAGAGCGAGAGAAAGCCCUGCUGCAGCACAAGAGCCUGGAGAGCCACCGCAAGGCUGAGAGCGAGGCCGACAGGAAGCGCUGUCUGGAGAACGAAGUCAACAGCCUUCGAGACCAGCUGGAUGACAUGAAGAGAAGAAACCAGAAUUCACACAUUUCCAAUGAGAAGAACAUUCACCUGCAGAAACAGCUGGAAGAAGCCAACACGUUGCUGCGGGCCGAGUCUGAGGCGGCGACAAGGCUCCGUAAAACCCAGACGGACAGCAGCAAGCAGCUGCAGCAGCUGGAGGCCAACGUGCGCGAGCUGCAGGACAAAUGCUGCCUGCUGGAGCGCAGCAAGCUGAGUCUGGAGAAGGAAUGCAUCAGCCUGCAGGCCGCACUGGAGACAGAGAGGAGGGAGCACAGCCAGGGCUCAGAGACCAUCAGCGACCUGACGGGACGUAUCUCAGGCCUGGAGGAGGAGGUACGUCAGCAGAGACAGGCUCUGUCCAAAGCUGAGACUGAGAAGAGACAGCUUCAGGAAAAACACACCGAUCUGGAGAAGGAGAUGAGCAACAAAGAGAUUGAUUUGACGUACAAGCUGAAGGUGCUGCAGCAGGAGCUGGAGCAGGAGGAGGCCUCUCAUAAGGCCACCAGGGCGCUGCUGGCAGACAAGAGCAAGAUCAAAGUAACCAUUGAGGGCGCCAAGUCAGAGUCCAUGAAGGAGAUGGAGCAGAAGCUGGCGGAGGAGCGAGCAGCCAAACUACGGCUGGAGAACCGAAUACUGGAGCUGGAGAAGCACAGCAGCAUGAUGGACUGUGACUAUAAACAGGCUCUGCAGAAACUAGAUGAGCUGCGCAGACACAAGGACCGACUAACCGAAGAGGUGAAGAACCUGACACUGAAGAUCGAGCAGGAGACCCAGAAGCGUUCCCUGACUCAGAAUGACCUGAAGGCUCAGAACCAGCAGCUCAAUUCUCUGCGAACCUCAGAGAAGCAACUCAAGCAGGAAACAAAUCACCUGCUGGACAUUAAACGCAGCCUGGAGAAACAGAACCAAGAGCUGCGCAAAGAAAGACAAGACACAGACGGGCAAAUGAAGGAAUUACAGGACCAGUUAGAAGCUGAACAGUAUUUCUCUACGCUGUAUAAGACCCAGGUUCGUGAACUAAAGGAGGAGUGUGAAGAGAGGAACAAACUCUACAAAGAUGUGCAGCAGUCCCUGCAGGAGCUACAGGAGGAGAGGGAUUCGUUGGCAGCUCAGCUCGAGAUCACACUGACAAAGGCUGACUCAGAGCAGCUGGCGCGCUCCAUUGCUGAGGAGCAGUACUCAGACCUGGAGAAGGAGAAGAUAAUGAAGGAGCUGGAACUGAAGGAGAUGAUGGCCCGCCAUCGUCAGGAGCUAGCUGAGAAGGACAUCACCAUCAAUUCGCUGGAGGAAGCCAAUAGGACCCUGACCAGUGAUGUCGCCAACCUAGCCAAUGAGAAGGAGGAGCUGAACAACAAACUGAAGGAGGCAAUGGAAGAAUCAGAAAAGUCAAAGGAUUGGGAGCAGCAGAUCAGCCAGAUGAAGCAGGCAUUUGAGAAGCAGCUGCAGUCAGAGAGGACACUGAAAACUCAGGCUGUCAAUAAGCUGGCAGAGAUCAUGAACAGGAAGGAGGUUCGUGGCGGAGGCAGUCGCCGUGGUAACGACACAGACAUGCGGCGGAAGGAGAAGGAGAACAGGAAGCUGCAGUUGGAGCUGAGGUCGGAGAAGGAAAAACUCAACAGCUCCAUCAUCAAAUACCAGAGGGAGAUCAAUGAAAUGCAGGCGCAACUGUCGGAUGAGAGCCAGAUGCGUAUUGAGCUGCAGAUGGCUCUGGACAGUAAGGACAGUGACAUCGAGCAGCUGAGGAACCGCCUGCUGUCGCUCAGCGUUCAAUCAAUGGACUCUGCCAGCGUCAGCAGUGGGCCGGAGUUUGAUGCUGAUGAUGCAUACACAGAAACAAGGCUGGAGGGCUGGCUCUCUCUCCCUGUAAGAAACAACACCAAGAAGUUUGGAUGGGAGAAAAAGUAUGUUGUAGUGAGCAGCAAGAAGAUUCUCUUCUACAACAGCGAGCAAGACAAAGAGCAGUCCAUUCCCUACAUGGUGCUUGACAUAGACAAACUCUUCCAUGUGAGACCAGUCACUCAGACAGAUGUGUACCGUGCUGACGCCAAAGAAAUUCCCAGGAUAUUCCAGAUUCUUUACGCCAACGAAGGCGAGAGCAAAAAGGAGCCAGAGUUUCCUGUGGAGCCGCUGGCCAUCGGAGAGAAGUCCAGCUACAUCUGCCACAAGGGCCAUGAGUUCAUCCCCACGCUCUACCAUUUCCCCACCAACUGUGAGGCGUGCACCAAGCCGCUGUGGAACAUGUUCAAGCCGCCGCCUGCUCUGGAGUGCCGGCGCUGCCACAUCAAGUGCCACAAGGACCACAUGGACAAGAAGGAGGAGAUCAUUGCUCCAUGCAAAGUAAACUAUGACGUGUCUACGGCCAAGAACCUGCUGCUGCUGGCCGUGUCCCAGGAGGAGCAGCAGAAGUGGGUGAGCCGACUGAUCAAGAAGAUUCCCAAGAAGCCUCCACCGCCAGAGCACUUUGCACGCUCAUCGCCUCGCGCCUCCAUGAAGGUCCAGCCCAGCCAGUCCAUGAGGAGGCCCAGUCGACCGCUCCCCACCAGCAAGAGCAGGUCAAAUGGCUUCAAAAUCAGGCGAGAAGAAUCCCACAGUGGACACUGGUACAAAUGAUGACUUCUCCCACCUUGUUCUUCCUUUGCCCAGAUGUUUCCCUGUAAACGACUCAAUUCCUGAAUGUGUGAUCUUGACUGUGAAGCAACCAAAGAAAUUCAUAAACCUUUUCUGGUGAAAGUCUGAAGACUGAAACAUUGUGAAAUAAUUAACCUCGCUUGGGAGUGUGGUGCAUCGUCCUGAAUCUCAGACUCUAUACAAAGCUCCGUUUGCAGAUCAGCACACUGAACUCCACAUCACUUCUUCACAACCCACCCUGUCGUGCUUCAGCCUGUGAGAGUUACAAAGUCCGUUUUUCCCUUUUGUUGAACUUCUUUCCCAGCCAAUUGAAGCGGUAACGACUAUCAACAGCUGUGAUCUUUUCACCCGGCUGGAUGACUUGUAAGCACGUUAGCCGAAGUCUUCUCGUGGGCCCUUGACGAGAGCAAAUUAUGUGUCUCUGCGGGGCCGGAGUGACUCGUUCAGCACCCACAGAACAGAAGAGAGCUCUUAUAAGCCCGACAAGAAGGGGAUACACUUACCUCAACACUUCUCACCAGGACACACUGUCUGAUUGAAGGACCUAACAGGAAAACUCUUGACUCUUCCUCACCACUUUUGGGGAUUCUUGUGGCCAAAUAAAAAAAAAAGACAUUCUUGUGUUUAAUGAUUGUGAACAAUAUGAAGGGUUUAAUGGGGAACACUACACUCAGAAGAUAGUAAAUUCUGUAAUUUGUUGGCUGAAUGCAGCUGAGGUUGUUGAACUUGAUCCCAGAUACAGUAUCUGUACUUAUUCAAACUCUUUUAACAUAUUGAUUGUAGCUUCUUGCUUCCCACGAUUCUGCUUUCAGGUGCGCGUCCACACGGGUCACAGAAACUUGAAUAAGGUACUUAAGCAAAGGAGCUGGGACUUGUAGGAAAGUCAGCAAGGCGGGGAAGGAGUGUCACCAUUCCUCCAGGAUUUGGGCAAAUAACUCCUUUAGUGCCUCUUAUUCAGAUUUCUGACUCAGGCAUGCUCUGAAUCACCGGUUUGUCGUUGUAUGACUACAGUAAUGGUUCUAAGUGAACAGAAUCCUGCUCUGAAUGGCAUUAGAUGGAGGCCCAGACAUGAGUUCCUCACAAUCCCAUAAUCUUUCAACCUGCACUGUCAGUUAUGAGGGUUAAUGUUUACUGAAUUCAAGGGGUGCACCAUUAAUGCUUUUCUGAUCCGAGCUCGGCUCCUUUUGUUGUUUGAAUGUACAUCUGGUCUUUACCAGAGACGACACGCAGGCAUUGUAUUACUUCUAUCCAAAUAUACUUGACUGAAGCCCCCUUUCAUCACCAACUACUCUGAGUGAACUUGCAUGUGUUUGCCUUUUCAGGCCUCACACUUCAGUGCUGUCACCCACAGGCCUCCACCUAUUAGAAAUGUAGUUUUUAGUCAUUCCUUGCAAAGAAAAGGAGGGGAAUUUACAAACAAGAAGCAGAAACAAUGAAGGUAUGCAAUCAUAUUCCAUGAGUCAAAAUACUGAGCAGCACUAUUCCAUUGAAAGUUUUUCUAAAAGUGUUUGUCCUGAUAUUUUUGUAUUAAAAGUAACCAAACUCUGAGUUUGGGCACAUUGUUGUGUGUAUGUGGCUUAUAUAGCAGGUGGAGAGUAACUGUGUGUGUGUGUGUGUGUGUGCGUGUGUGUGUGUGUGUGUGUGUACUGAGUGCUCUCCUUUAACCAAGAAGCAUGUUUUAUACAUAUAAAUAUACACAGUAUAUAUUUUACAUGCCAUACAGUGCACAUUAUAUUAUUUAUACAGCCUUGUCCACUUUGUAUUUAAGGGCUCUACAUCCAGAUUGCAUGUUUGCUACCAAACAGCUCUAUAAUAAUAACUACUUCAACAAUAAAGAUGUGGAUGUGC